rnacentral:misc_RNA from 1 species
UCCUCCUUGCGAAGGCAGUCUCCUUAGAGUGCUCUACCGAAUAGUUAGCAACUAAGGACGAGGGUUGCGCUCGUUGCGGGACUUAACCCAACAUCUCACGACACGAGCUGACGACAGCCGUGCAGCACCUGUUUUCAAGUUCUAGCAAGCUAGCACUCCACUAUCUCUAGCGGAUUCUAUCAAUGUCAAGCCUAGGUAAGGUUCUUCGUGUAUCUUCGAAUUAAACCACAUGCUCCACCGCUUGUGCGGGUCCCCGUCUAUUCCUUUGAGUUUUAAUCUUGCGACCGUACUCCCCAGGCGGAAUGCUUAAUGCGUUAGCUGCAUUACUGCAGAGACAAGCUCCACAACAACUAGCAUUCAUCGUUUAGGGCGUGGACUAC